UUUACAUGAAACCCUAAGCAACCACCAUCCCACCCAUACGGUGCGAUGGCAACAGGAGCCCCUCCCCCUCUCGUGACAUCAUCCUAGCCAAUCAAGUUUCUGGAUUUCAUUCUAAUGAUGACUUGACUGAUUAUCUGUGAGCACAUAUCUUAGAAUACCGAGCAAAACCAAGGUCGUUAGAUACAUGGAGCUUGCACAGGGAGGAGCAGGUCGUUGUGGAGCAUGGAUUAUGUUUUGAAACUUAUUGAACAUAUGUUACACAUUGGGUUUUCGUACUUAUGCUUCCGCUAUACUUAUAAACUAUGAUUAUGUUUUGGACACCAAUCAUAUUGAAUGAUUGGUUUUACAUUUAUUAUACUUGAU
rnacentral:lncRNA from 1 species